GUUGCUGUAAAUCCAGCAACCGGGCUUCGCAUCCCGAAACAUCACACAGGGCUGACACGCCAUAAGCGUGUUUUUU
rnacentral:sRNA from 2 species